GAAAAGUGAUGCACACAUGCUUAUACUUUGCCAUUUUGUGGUUGCAGAGCAAAGGAAAGAUUCCUUUCUCAUAUCGAGGUUUGUGACACUACGUAAUCCAACACCAGAAAUGAGUGGUACAAUUGGCUUCUGAGAACACAUGAAAUUAUGUGGUUGAAAUAGUAAGGAUGCAGAUGUUGCUGGCAUGGUUACAAUUUAUUGCUUCAUCUCUUAGCUGCCCCUUUAAACGUCAUGUAAGGUCUAGAGUGACAUGCAGGCCAGACAAGGACUUUGUCCCUGCCAAUAUCUCUCAGUCCAAGAUAUCUUCGUGAUCUGCUGAACAAUCAGUUGAGCCGACCAGAGUGGAUCCAACAAUGAUGCACGUGGGUGGAAACAAUGUAGGAAGCAAACAAAGUUCUGUGCCAUCACAAAACAACCUAUCCAAGACGAGAAUGGAAUUAGUAGAAAUGUGUUGCAGUGAAUACAUUCCAUAUGAAGCAGUACACAAAACCUCUGGGGUGUUGGACCACCCAGAGGUGAACACAUUUAAGGAAUUUAGCCUGUGAUCAAUUUUGUCCCUUCCAGACCAUAACUGACAGCAGGAAUAUUUAUUUCAGCUGCUGUAAAUUAAAGGAAAUCUUAAAACAUGCCCCCAAUAUCCACUUCUACAGCACAACACGGAGAUAAUGGGGAGAAAGGAAAAGUGCAUAACACUUAGAAGUAAGUUUCACAUGCUCAUCUAACCAGACCUUCUCUUUAAAACAAAGCAACGCAAGCUGCCACCGCAACCAACUCACCCGAUAAGUAUCUUUACAACCCAAAAAGAGAGGGCAAAAUAAAAAUUCCAAUUUAACCCAUAAUGAUUACCAAAAUUACUGGGAAAACCAUAAAUAUGUCAGUUUUAAUCAUGUUAAUGAAAGAAGCUGCAUCUCUGGAUCUGUCGCUACAAUCUAUUUUUAGUUCCACAGUGAUAUCUCUGAUAACACCCUGUUGGUAUUAAAACUCAAACAAUGCUUGGAAACAUUGAGAUGGAAUGUAAAAUCAUAUAAUUGCUGGUCUGCUUCAUUUCUCUUGUGUGUGCAUCAGAUUUGCUGUCAAAAAAGGAAGGCAGGCUUAACAAUUGCAAUUAUUUUCCUAAUUAACGUUAAUAGUUCAGUUAUUUUUAUUGGACAAUAUCCCAAAUAAUUUCGUGCUUUAAGGUAUCUGUGAUGUGUAUUGGAAUAAAAAAUUUGAUGCAUAAAACUUCUGCAAAUGGAAGUGGAUAUACUGCUAAUAUGUCAUCAGCUGUCUCGGUUUAUAACGUGGACAUUUCAACCGUAUGACUGACGGUGUUCCUGAUACUGAGUAAUAACAGCACAGUCCUCAUUAUAUAAUCCAGAUUAAUUAUUGUUAAGCAUGACAAGGUUGUAGGCAACCUGUCUUGCUGAAUGCAACCAGUAUAUCAAGUGUAUAGUUUGGGCCAAAGCAAGUCAGGGCUGGAAAAAUAAAGCUAUUUUUGGAUUUGUCAUGCUGGGGACUAAGAAGUGUAGGUGGCUCUUGGAAAAUUGACUCCCCAGGCCAUUUUAAAAGGCCAGUACUGAAAUGAAAUAAAGUAGAUCUACGUAAUUAUAAGUACAUGUGUGUUCCAAGUAAUUAAAGUACAAGUUUGCAUGGCGACCCUCCUUGACGUCUCAGGGUAAAUAAAAACGUACACAAAAA